UACGUAGGGUGCAAGCGUUGUCCGGAAUUAUUGGGCGUAAAGAGCUCGUAGGCGGUCUGUCACGUCGGCUGUGAAAACUCGGGGCUCAACCCCGAGCCUGCAGUCGAUACGGGCAGACUAGAGUCCGGCAGGGGAGACUGGAAUUCCUGGUGUAGCGGUGAAAUGCGCAGAUAUCAGGAGGAACACCGGUGGCGAAGGCGGGACUCUGGGCCGAUACUGACGCUGAGGAGCGAAAGCGUGGGGAGCAAACAGG
rnacentral:rRNA from 1 species